AGCCGUGAACUUAUAACAAAGCAUGGCACUGAAGAUGCCAAGAUGGCUACCGACCAUAGCCCGU
rnacentral:tRNA from 1 species